GAUUUCAGAGGUAGCCCAGGUUUGAGGCCGAAUUCUUGGAAUUGGAAUGACAGGGCUGAAAAAAGCCUCAAAAUUAUGUUGCCAAAUAUAUUGGGUUGAUGCAAACAAGUGGCUGCUUUGAAUUUCGUUGUAUGAGUCUUUUUGUUCCACUUGAGUACAAUGGAAUUCUCAAGUCUUCUGAUGGACUUGCCCCAACACUUUUCCCACUUCAAUUCUAAAACCGGAUUCAAUCCUGGUUUUUCAUCCUAGUGUAAAGCCGCCCUUCGAGUGGUACCCCGAGCUGCCAUUCAUGGAUUUGAACUGGUGAGUUCAAAAUUCAGGAUGGCUCCAAGGAGCGAGUCUCCACCAACAUUUAAUGAUUGAAGUCGGGGAAUCCGCUCAAGCCAUAGGGCUUGUUUUCAAAGGGGGUUAGUAUAAAAUGCACUAAAAUAAAGCAUGCUCGAGGAAAAGUUCCAUCUUUGAAGUGCUUUUUUGGCUUUCGACGAAAGAUAGAGAGAGAGGUCGAUCACAUUGGGACCCCACUGUUUGAAUAACACCUUCCUCCAAGUGGGUCUUCAAGUGGAAUUUAAGUCAGAAAAUUGGUUCCAAACAGUACCCCUACGUCUUUACAAAGCAUUCCAAAAUCUUGCCAUGGCUAAAAGUCAACCCUUCCUCAAUAAAUAAUAACUAAGUCUCGACCAAAGAUGGUGAGCGGACCAUACGUUCAAAAUGGCACAACAUUGCCGUGCCACGAGUUUCGCGGAUUUUUUGGCCAUCCUCCAUUUGGCCCUCGUGAUCUCCUGAUCUCAGCCCUUUCGACCUCUUCUUUUGGGGCUACUUUAAGGUCCAAACCAACGUAAUUUCUCACUCCAACAUCGAGCCCUUCAAAUCUUCCAUCUCCAGGGAGUGUGCCAGUUUGCCCACAUCUCUCACUGAGAAGAGUUGCUCGCCAUUCCAGACUCGUGUGGAGGUCGUGAUCACUGCAAAUGGUGGACACAUUGAAUGAAAAUAAUCUAUCAUACUCCAAUAAAGUGUUCUUGUUCAGUGUUUUCUUUUUACUAAUUAAAAUUGAGAAAAUACAGUGUGGCCCAUUCAUAUCUGCGGCCAUUUUGAAGCUUCAUAAUUUGUGAACGAUUAGUAAUAGGUAAAAAUGGUAAUUUUAGUUAAGUAAAUUGUACAGUACGUCCAAAAAUUGAUGGUGGUAUUCAGGUUCAUAGGUUUUAUUGUUAAAAGUUAUGUAAACAGUAGGACUGCUAUGAACUUGGCUGAUGCAAUUUUUUGAAUGUUUGCUCCCUUUCUGAUGCAAUUUUUUUGGCAAUUGCAUCAUCCAAAAGUAUAUAAACCCUACGAUUGGAACUGUUCAAGGUCAGUUCUAAGCACCUUCUACCAUGGUGAAAGAGCACAACAUCGAGCUGUGGGGUUAGGCUUUCGGCAGAAUUCAAGCCGGAAUGACCCACAGGGCCGUCUCUGAGAGUCUGAAGAUCCCUUUGCGAACGGUGGAGAACUGGUGGAAGCAAGAAAGUGGAGGCGAAACCCUGCAAAACCAACCUGGCCUUGGAAGGUGGCCAACAACCUCCAGUGUUGCAAAGCUCGUCAUUGCCAAAUCUCUAACGAACAAGUGGCAAUCUACGCAAUAACUGGCAUGAAGGCUGACCGCUGAAGAAUACCUGGUGUCUUUGUCCUCUGCCCACAGAUAUUUGCGUGAAACUUUUGGACAUAAUGUAUUCCUUUCGAGUGUACAGGGCCGAUCAGGUAAAUUUGCAUCAUUUUCAACAACACACAAAUCGACGUAAUGAGGAGGUCUUCCAUCCUUAAAUUCCAGGUAUUUCAAGACGCCUACCUGCCCUUUUCGUCGAUUUGUGUAUUGUUGAAAAUGGUGUAAAUUUACCUGAUCGGCCGUGAAGAUAUCCCAAAUGACGUCUCCACCUUAAUUUUUCUUCACAACAUCAUAGGAAGAGCAUUCAAGUCUUGCUAUGAAGACACGUUGAAAAGGAAAAUUUCCUUACCUCCACUGGGAAUGGAAUUACCAGCACUUCAAGACAAAACUUAUUCUCUUACUUCACUAUAUUGGUGUGUUCUGGGUAAACACAUGCUUGUGCUCAUGUUAUAUUAUUCUAGUCAUGCAUAUAACCUGUACUAAUCAGAACAAUAAAGUCAGUUACAAAGUCA